rnacentral:rRNA from 1 species
UGCGUAGGCGGCUUGUCAAGCCAGAGGUGAAAGGCAUUGGCUCAACCAAUGUAAGCCUUUGGAACUGACGAACUUGAGUACAGGAGAGGUAAGUGGAAUUCCUAGUGUAGAGGUGAAAUUCGUAGAUAUUAGGAGGAACACCAGUGGCGAAGGCGACUUACUGGACUGUAACUGACGCUGAGGCACGAAAGCGUGGGUAGCGACA